rnacentral:rRNA from 1 species
CCUACGGGAGGCAGCAGUGGGGAAUAUUGCGCAAUGGGCGAAAGCCUGACGCAGCGACGCCGCGUGAGGGAUGAAGGUCUUCGGAACGUAAACCUCUGUCAGCAGGGAAGAAAGGUAACUGUGCUAAUCAGCAGUGAAUUGACGGUACCUGCAAAGGAAGCACCGGCUAACGCCGGGCCAGCAGCCGCGGUAGUACGGAGGGUGCGAGCGUUAAUCGGAUUGACUGGGCGUAAAGCGCUCGUAGGCGGCAUGUCAAGUCAAGGGUGAAAUCCCCGGGCUAAACGUGGGAACUGCCUUUGAAACUGGCAGACUGGAGUGAAGGAGAGGUUAGUGGAAUUCCAGGUGUAGGAGUGAAAUCCGUAGAUAUCUGGAGGAACAUCAGUGGCGAAGGCGACUAACUGGCACAUAACUGACGCUGAGGAGCGAAAGCGUGGGUAGCAAACAGGAUUAGAUACCCGAGUAGUC